rnacentral:lncRNA from 1 species
AUGUGUAAAUCAAUUAGGGCACGUUUGGUACGCCGCAUUAGGCAUGAUAGUAUAAGCUUAUACAAUACAUUAUGGACUUAUCUAUUGUUUGGUGUUCACAUUGUAUUGUAUAAGCUUAUACAUCAAUCCUCUCUUAUACAUCAAAAUGAUGGAUUAUUUUAUCCACCCUAUUGAUGAUGGAUAAGGCAUGAUAAGAGUGUGAUGUAUAAACUACUUGAAUAU